AAUUCCUUCAAUGACAGGGACUUAAUAAAGCGACUGAUUGACGGAUGCAUCCUGUCCGAGGUCGUCCAGAGGAUUGAUCGUGCCGAUCUCGAACAGCGGGUUUGGGACUCUCUUGGGUCCUUUCUCGAGGUAAACAGAUUCACCUCCCUCCUUCCUUUCACGCCUUUGUUUAAUUAAUUCUCCAACUCUUAUUCUGACCUCCUGGCCGCCCAUGC
rnacentral:lncRNA from 1 species